CCCGGGAAAGCGGGAUUUGUGUCGAGUCUAUUUCCCCGGCUGUAGGAUCACAGGCAUCCAGCUUCGCCUAACCCACCAAAACAUUGCCGCUUCUUUUCUUUUCUUUUUUUCUUUUCUUUUCUCCUUUUCUUUUUCUUUUUUCUUUUAAGCGCAACAGCCCGGAGAUGACCAAAGGAGGCAGAACACUUGGAUGGGGCACUGGGUUCCCUGCCCCUGAGCCUGCGGCCCCCACACACGCCCCCUGCAUCCCCGAGGGCGGCCGGGGAGCUGCCGAUGCGCCCCCGCUCCGGGCCCCGCACGAGGCCAGCGGCCGCGCCGAGUCCCGCGCUUGUCCAUCCUUAUGCAAAUGAUUACAGGCCGCGGACAAAGCCGGAGUGGGGGGUCUCGGACGGCUCCACAAAGCCGCCCAGCUCGGGGCUAGGAGGCUCCAUCCGGGAGCAGACUCCCUGCUCGCCUGGGAGAGCGCAUUCUCUGCGGGCGAUGGAUGAAGGCACAUUCAUCUUACCUGGGAAACGGAGGGGGCCGCGGAGAGCAGGCGAGGCGGGAGGGGGCUCCGCGCCCACCCCCGCCCAGGCUGCAGUCCCCGACCUGUCCCCGUCGUCCCGCUGGGCGACGACUUUUGUUCAUUUCACAAGCGACCGCGCAUCACACGGUAGUCCCAGCGGAGAGGACAAGCUCCCACGAACGGAUGGAAAGAGGAAGGUGGGGAAGAGGAGAGACGGUAGUGGACGUGGAGAUUUUUUUUUUUUCGCAUUUUGUUUUCCCGGUCUUACCCCCGAAAUUUACAGAAAAGCGGCAAGGCAGCAAGCGACUUGCUGAAAGUAACCAAACUCCUCCGCACAAGGGUGCUUGUUAGCGCCUAGCAGCACGCCAGCUCAGCGCGCUUCUUUGGAGCCGGGGAGUCUGCGGAAAUGAUUCCGAGUCGGAUGCAGACCGGUGCGCGGCGCCGCGGCCCCGAGGGCGAACCCGCGCGCGGACCGCUCCGGUGCCGCGGGGAGCGCCGCUCCGAGCCUCUGGCCCCUCGCUGGCCCAACGGCGGGGGAUCAGAGGGGACGGGCCGGUGAGCGGCUUCCGUCCACCCCUGGUGUCGCCAAGGCGGCUUGUACCUGGGACUGUCUCCACCUGGGGAGCUUGCGGAAGACAAAAGCGAGGAGAAUAGCUGCACGGCUCCACGGGAACUCUUUUAGAGCCAAAAAUAUCAAGGCGGAAUCACUCAACAGCUGCAUCCACACGCACCGCGUUUUUGGAAGAGAACGGGCAGCGCCGAGCUGAUUUGUAUUUGAUUUUUUUUUUUUUACUUUCUCUCUCUCUGGGGUGGGGGGGAGGUCAGUUUUCUGGCCGCCUUCAGAAAAGGAGUCACUUCAAAAAGAAAGCGAGGGCGACACGAGACCUGAAUCUGCGUGUGUUGCUCGAGAUGCAGAUGUCCGGCCGCCUUGGAAAUGAAUGCGGAUGGGGAGCGUCCCCGGUUUCUUGAAGAGCUAUCCAUCUACCUUCAGUUCGUUUACAGAUGCUCGGCACUGAUUCCCCUGGACAAAAACAGGGACAGGAACAAGCUCACUCCAAGGGUGUGGGAAGAACAAAGGCUUUUGUGAACUUUCUUCUGGCAGCAGAGGAAAAAGAGCAGACACUUUUUUUGUGGAGCCUCCUAACUCAGUGCCACAUGGAGUGUUAUGCCAAUAGGAAUCAAUUACCCCCUGGGAGGAGACUUUCCCGGCUUCCUUCCUGGUGGCUGGCACCUUAUUAGUGAGGACCUCUCUCUCUCCUAUUGUUUUAGAAAGAUUAAAGCCUGCAGCUUCAGUUA